AACAUCGCCCUUCGUAUAAUUUUAUGAGGGGUUGGACCUGCCCGGUGAUUGGUCAAAUUUUGAAGUUAUUAAAUUAAUUAGAGAUUUUUUUAAACGGCUGCAAUUAGUAGUUGUGCUAAGGUAGCGUAAUCAUUUGCCCCUUAAUUAGGGGAAGGUAUGAAUGGUUUGACGUGGGAAAAGCUGUCUCUUUUAUAUAAAAGGAAGUUUAUUUUUGAGUGAAAAAGCUUAGAUGUUUAUAAAAGACGAGAAGACCCUAUCGAACUUGAAUUAUGUAUUAUAGAUUUAUAAUAUAGAAAGUUUAGUUGGGGAAACUUAAAGUUAAGAAAAACGCUUUUUUGUUGUAAAAUGAUCCUGUAUUAUAGAAAAAUGAAAAAGUUACCGUAGGGAUAACAGCGCUUUCUUCUCUGAGA
rnacentral:rRNA from 1 species